GGGCUAGGCUUUGAUGUUUGAAAUGAGGGACACUCCUUCUUCUACCAUCAAUAGAAAGAAGCAGGGCAGAGGAAACCUAGUGCAGAAGCAGCUACUGGGAACCAUAGCCUGGCCUACUCGGCUAUCUGGUAAUAUUCUGUAAACCAUCCUUCUUUAAAACUAGUCCCAGAAUGGAACUAUUUUGCUUGAGGUUGGACAAACCAACUGCAAGUUUUCACGCUCUCUCAAAUCUCAGAUUCUGCAAGUUAUCUGUGGUUACACAAGUAUCUGCCGACAGAUGCGGUGGGGUGUAAGACUCAGGCAAAACAUCUGUUUGGUCUUGGGUUACAGCACUGACCAGCAAUCAGCAGAGUGUCAUGAGGAACUUUUCAAUCAGAACAAUGAAGCUGGAAACCACAGAGCUACAGCCAACUACACAUCCUCUGACCCCGAAUUAUAUGCUUAUCUCAGUCCCCCUCACACUAAGGAGAGAAAAAAUAAAUAAAAGUCAAAGUCCUUGCUCCUUAGCAACCACAAUCUAUGAUCAAAACCACACAUAGAUGAAAAGUAUUUUAAACAAUUAUAAACAAAAUUUGAACAAAAAUACACAAUAUGAGAAUAACCAUGAUUUUUAGCGUGUGAAGGAAACUCAAAAUGAGGAAAAAGUAUUAUAGAAUCAGCAGGGACUGGAGGUAGCUAUAACCAUUUGCCCCAUUCUAUUUCCUACCAGAGAU
ensembl:lncRNA